rnacentral:rRNA from 1 species
UACGUAGGUGGCAAGCGUUGUCCGGAUUUAUUGGGCGUAAAGCGAGCGCAGGCGGUCUUUUAAGUCUGAUGUGAAAGCCCCCGGCUUAACCGGGGAGGGUCAUUGGAAUCUGGGAGACUUGAGUGCAGAAGAGGAAAGCGGAAUUCCAUGUGUAGCGGUGAAAUGCGUAGAUAUAUGGAGGAACACCAGUGGCGAAGGCGGCUUUCUGGUCUGUAACUGACGCUGAGGCUCGAAAGCGUGGGGAGCAAACAGG